rnacentral:tRNA from 2 species
GCCCGAAUGGCGAAAUCGGUAGACGCUGCGGACUUAAAAUCCGCUUCCGUAAGGAGUACGGGUUCGAGUCCCGUUUCGGGCACCA